rnacentral:rRNA from 1 species
AUUGAACGCUGGCGGCAGGCCUAACACAUGCAAGUCGAACGGUAACAGGAAGAAGCUUGCUUCUUUGCUGACGAGUGGCGGACGGGUGAGUAAUGUCUGGGAAACUGCCUGAUGGAGGGGGGUAACUACUGGAAACGGUAGCUAAUACCGCAUAACGUCGCAAGACCAAAGAGGGGGACCUUCGGGCCUCUUGCCAUCGGAUGUGCCCAGAUGGGAUUAGCUAGUAGGUGGGGUAACGGCUCACCUAGGCGACGAUCCCUAGCUGGUCUGAGAGGAUGACCAGCCACACUGGAACUGAGACACGGUCCAGACUCCUACGGGAGGCAGCAGUGGGGAAUAUUACACAAUGGGCGCAAGCCUGAUGCAGCCAUGCCGCGUGUAUGAAGAAGGCCUUCGGGUUGUAAAGUACUUUCAGCGGGGAGGAAGGGAGUAAAGUUAAUACCUUUGCUCAUUGACGUUACCCGCAGAAGAAGCACCGGCUAACUCCGUG